UACGUAGGGUGCGAGCGUUAAUCGGAAUUACUGGGCGUAAAGCGUGCGCAGGCGGUUCGUUGUGUCCGUCGUGAAAGCCCCGGGCUCAACCUGGGAACUGCAUUUGGGACUGCAAGGCUGGAGUACGGCAGAGGGAGGUGGAAUUCCACGUGUAGCAGUGAAAUGCGUAGAGAUGUGGAGGAACACCGAUGGCGAAGGCAGCCUCCUGGGCUAGUACUGACGCUCAUGCACGAAAGCGUGGGGAGCAAACAGG
rnacentral:rRNA from 1 species